rnacentral:rRNA from 1 species
AGAGUGAACGCUGGCGGCGUGGCUAAGACAUGCAAGUCGAGCGGCAAGGCAGCAAUGCCCUAGAGCGGCGAACGGGUGCGUAACACGUGAGCAAUCUUCCGUAAAGUUGGGGAUAGCCCCGGGAAACUGGGAUUAAUACCGAAUGUGGACCAGGACGGCAUCGUCCUGUAUCUAAAGCCUGUAACGGCGCUUUACGAGGAGUUCGCGGCCUAUCAGCUAGUUGGGGGGUAACGCCCACCAAGGCGAAGACGGGUAACCGGUUUGAGAGAACGAUCGGUCACACCGGAACUGAGACACGGUCCGGACACCUACGGGUGGCAGCAGUUUCGAAUCAUUCACAAUGGGGGAAACCCUGAUGGUGCGACGCCGCGUGGAGGAUGAAGGUCUUCGGAUUGUAAACUCCUGUCGAAGGGGGACUAAAGUAUGGUUCAUAGCCAUACCUGCAUUAACCCCUAGAGGAGCAGUGGCUAACUCUGUGCCAGCAGCCGC